CUGCUUGCUCAGACAGCACAUAUGAUACAUUGGAAUCGAUACAGAAAAGAUAAGCAUGACCUUUGUGAAAGGAUGACACGCAAAUUCGUGAAGUGUUUCCAUGUUUU
rnacentral:snRNA from 1 species